GGGUGUGAUUAUACUAGCACAAAAGCAUCGGAUCCCAUCAGAACUCCGAAGUUAAGUGUGCUUAGGCGAGAAUAGUACUAGGAUGGGUGACCCCUUGGGAAGUCCUUGUGUUGCACUCC
rfam:Musa acuminata subsp. malaccensis Doubled-haploid Pahang (DH-Pahang) genomic chromosome, chr5